rnacentral:rRNA from 1 species
UACGUAGGGGGCUAGCGUUGUCCGGAAUCAUUGGGCGUAAAGAGCGCGCAGGCGGUCGUUCAAGUCGCGUGUGAAAGCCCCCGGCUCAACUGGGGAGGGUCACGCGAUACUGAUCGACUCGAAGGCAGAAGAGGGAAGUGGAAGUUCCCGGUGUGAGUGGUGAAAUGCGUAGAUAUCGGGAGGAACACCAGGUGGCGAAGGCGACUCUCUGGGACGGUACUGACGCUGAGACGCGAAAGCGUGGGGAGCGAACAGG